CUCAAAGAAAAUUCAUUCCCUUUGGGAGGCCCCUGGGCAACAACCACUACUCAGAACAACUGACAGUCCUGAAACCCAGAGCAGCACAUCGUGGUGCUCAGGGGGUGUUUGCUGACUGAAUAAAUGACUGUAAUCAGACACUGAAAGCAAGCCUUGAGGCUGGGAGGAGAUCCCCAAUCCUGUCUUCAAACAGGAGGUCUCUCCUUUUUGGUAUGGGUGAGUGAAAUAGGGUUUGGAAAGGGAAACGAUGUGUUACAAAUUAUCUGGUAAACCAAGGACAUGUGGGAAGAGGAUGUGAGCAGGCACAUCCCAGGAAACUGAGCACAGAGGAUGCAGCAGCUGCACCCUAACUCCUGCUUGUGGACAUCACACUGUCUCUAACUCUGGAAGCAGGGUGAACAGGGCACAGGUUUCCUGGAGAGGAUGGUCAUAUGACCUCAACCUGGCCUAUUAGCAUGUUUCACUCCUCCCUGGCCAUUGUGAUUGGCUCUGAGCUGGGCAAAUGACCAAUCAGGACUCAGGGCAGACCUCCUGCUGGAAUCCUGGGGAAGAGGAGCUUUAUUUCUGUUUGGAGCAGGGCAAAGGUCAGCCUGUGGCAGUUGGUGGGGCUAUGAGGUCAGCCUGUGGCAGUUGGUGGGGACGUGAGUUCAGCCUGUGGUAGUUGGAGGGGAUGGGAGGUAGCCUGCAGCAGUUGGUGGCCAUCUUGCUCCCAUAAAGGCGGAGACCCCUGCAGGAGGACGGCAGCAGCAUGCAGAGCUGAGAAGUUGGGGAGAGAGAAUUUCCGCUCAGGUCCUUGAGAUCCAGAGCCCACUGGGCACCGGCAGCCCGAGACAUCUCGUCCAGUGGAAGGUGACUGUGUCCCGCCCUGCUCAUGGGUGCCCUGCUCUUUAAUACAAAACCCACACCCUCCCUGUGGGACCGUGAUGGACAAAUAAAGUGAUGAGCAGCCGUGGCUCAGCCAGCCCCAGCCCACACCUCACAGAAGAGGAGACAGUCUGUGAGCACAACGUUCCGUCAUCAGAGUCAACUACUUUCCAGCCCUGAGGUGGGGAUGUUUCAGUUUGGAGACACAGAGCACAGAGCACCGGUGUGGAUGGUCCUGGAAGCAAGGGGGCCAGCCCAGCCUCCUCUCCCCAGCCUGGCUCCUGACCUCUGCCCUGUGUGUGCCUGACA